ACUACAUGCUUUUCAUACAGACUCACAUUUUCAGAGCCAUACAGAAUACAUGAAAAUGGACAAAUAGCAUCCCCUAAAACUCAUCAUGAACUCCUGAAAAGAUCAGCAAACUUGAAGAAAAGGACAAAAUGGAUAACUGAGUAGAACUGGCAUGGAGGAGUACUAUGGACCCUGCUUUUGCACCUCAACGAAAUAAUGAAUUGCUUACAAGGGCAAGAAGAAAGGCCAAAACUAUUUUCAACAAUAGCAAGAGGCAGAAAAAUUAUAUGCUUACUUUUGUUAGCAUUUAGGGAAGUGUGACCAUGUUUAAUAUGUUCAUCUCUGAAGGAGGUGGGGAACAGUAUACAUCUUGUAUACUAGAGAGAUGAAAAACACUUCUGUGGAAAAACGCAUAUACUUCCUAUUUUUCAGGUAUCUAUCAAAUAUCUCCUAUUAAUUCUUUGAACUAGAGAAUGUUCUGCCAGCUGAACUGGCAAUAGUGUGAAAAGGAACUUAUUGGGCUUUGUUAAGUCCUCAGCACACUAACUUAUUUCUGAUAACUGGAAGAAGAGCAACAAGCUCCUCCACAGGCCUUGGCAUAGAGAAAUACAAGUCCUACAUGAAAAACUGUCUUUGAAAUGAAAAAAUGAAUUAUGAAGAUCGUAAAUAAUACAGACAAAAAUCAAUCAAGACACUGCAAAGCAGAAGAACAAAAACCCUUGUAUUUCUGAGAGAUCCCUUGGCACAAGGCACUGAACUAACUCAAUAAAGAUAAUGAACAGACACAACUACAGCAUGACUCUUUCUGGUACAGAUAGAUCAAACUGACGAGUAGGUAGUAAAAAUAAUAAGGUGGAAAUAACUACAGUAUCCCUAAGUCUAAGGAGUUUCACCUGUUGAUCCCAAUUAGCACCAGACCAUGAGUACAAGCUGGAACAUGCACUGUCCUGUUGAAUGAAGGAAGUCAUGGAAGCAAAAGGUAUCCCAUCAGCUAAGAAUAUCUUCCUACUCAAAACUCAGAAUCUGGUUAAAAGAAGGCUCCAGCCCCAUCCUGGCUGGUGUGUCCUGGCCAAAAAUCUAAAGCAGCAUUCAUAAAAUAGGGGUUUUUCCACAAUGCCUCAUCUCAAAUUCCGCCUACAGAUGUAUGAAUUUAGGACUUUGGUUCAUAGUACACUCAUGUAUCAAAAUAAUCAUUUAUAUGCACCAUAGGAAGUGAUACAAUAAAUACAAUUGAUAAGUAAACAAUGAAGAAAAUAGAACCAAUGCUAGCACAUUAAAUCACUGAUAAGGAACCCAAGCAUAUCUGAUUAAAUUUCAAUGAUUUUAUUUCAAUAUACAGUUUACAUCAAAGAAAAAUCUGGCGGUAAGGGUAAGAAGUCUUCUCAGUUCAUAAGAACUUUGAACUUUAUCAGAACUCAAGUAGCAGUCCAAAGUUCUAAAUGAAAACUCAAGUCAUGCUGCUCCAAACCAAAGAAUAGAAAAAAAGCACGAGAAAAAAUUCUGAAUGGUUUUCAUCCUCUUCAGUUCAGGCUGAUUAAAUUCUAUGAUAUUUCAAACUGAGUGAUAUUUUGAUCUAUAAAUACAGAAUUCAUGAUAGAGGCAUAUUACUACCGAAGGGGAGGAAACACAUUCCCUGAUCACGGCAUAGAACUUAAUUUUACUGAAUUAUUACAAAGGGUAACAAAACAGACAUUAAUAGCUCAGCAGAAGAAAUCAGACAAAUCCUGAAGAGGGUAUGUAAUUCAUGCCCUCUAACUUUCAAUGAAUAAGUAGUCUCUUUAAAAUCUGUAUAGACAAAGUCUCUGGGGCUGAGGCUGGUGAAGCACUGGCUGGCCAUGAAGGUCCUCAGCACCUGCCUGGGCACAGCCUUGAGCAAACUGCUUCAAAUUCAAUGUUGCUCUGCUAUAGGCUAAAGGCCCAUCUGAUUUAUCCUACAAAUUCUCUGAUUGCUUUAUCAUUUGUGGGCAGGAUUCAACAACAUUUAAGAAACCUAAGCUUUCUUGGUUUGAUUUUAUAUUCUGCAAUCAGUCUUAAAUGAUAAAAUACUAAUAGAAAACAAUUUCCACUAAAGUAACACAAAGUAUUACUUCUGAUAUAUGAUUCUACUCUGAACAUCAGUGGUACACAGACACUCCAAAGAGUUGGUGAAGAAAUAGUUACUCUGCUUGUUAUUCUGCCUUCAUAAAACAAGUCUUUAUUACAAACAUACUUUGUAAUGGCAUUGUAUAAGCAACAAACGAAAUGUGAUUCAGCUUGACAAAAAUGUAAACAUUUAAUUAAAAUAGAUGAGUUAAUCACAAAAGAUUGCUUAUCAUGUAAUGUAAAAAAGAUAAAGUAAAUCAUUAGGCUAUAAAUAAACGCACAUAACACAUGUU